rnacentral:siRNA from 1 species
GAUGUGUGGGCUUUUGGCUGUAC